ensembl:lincRNA H09G03.1 ncRNA
AGUUUGGAGAUCGGCGGACUGUCAAAAAAGAGGUUUGGAAAUAAAGGAAUUAAGGUAAAAGAACAAGGUGCAAAGAAGCCAUUUGCAUUCGUUAUAUUCCAAACUUCUGUUAAGUUCGAAUGGACUACCCUACUUGGAUCUUCUGAGGAGUUUAAAAAUGAAGAGCAGGCCCAAAACCACGCGCGUGGUCAGCCGGAAAGCAGCACGGUCAACACUCGCCGCUUCAAACAAGGCGCCAACUGCUUGGACGGCAUCGCGACAGUUGUGCAAUCGAAGCGAUUCCGUGCUGUUGCGGACAAGAGAAAUUUCGAUACAAACGGUGCUCUGACUUCAUUCCGAUUAAAAUUUCAGAGAUCUGAGGCGAAUUUUCUUCAUCAAACGGAACUCCGACUGCAAAUUGUGAGCAAGAAAUCUUACCAAAGUGAUAAAGGACACGUUUUUAAUUUUAUUUUUUAUAUUCUCUACCAGUUGUUGACGAAUAUUUGA